rnacentral:rRNA from 1 species
AGAGUUUGAUCCUGGCUCAGAACCGAACGCUGGCGGCGUGGAUAAGACAUGCAAGUCGAGCGGGAUACACAAGGUAGCAAUAUUUUGUGUGUUCAGCGGCGCAAGGGUGCGUAACACGUGGGCAAUUUGCCAUGAAGUUUGGGAUAAUCCCGCGAAAGCGGGACUAAUACCGGAUGUGGAAAUCGGGUGGCAUCAUCUGAUAUCCAAAGUUGGGGACCGUAAGGCCUGACGCUUCAUGAUAAGCCCGCGGCCUAUCAGCUAGUUGGUGAGGUAACGGCUCACCAAGGCUAAGACGGGUAGCUGGUCUGAGAGGACGACCAGCCACACUGGAACUGAGACACGGUCCAGACACCUACGGGUGGCAGCAGUCGAGAAUUUUUCACAAUGGGCGAAAGCCUGAUGGAGCGACGCCGCGUGGGGGAUGAAUGGCUUCGGCCCGUAAACCCCUGUCAUUUGCGAACAAACCUUAUCAUUUAACAGAUGAUGAGCUGAUUGUAGCGGAAGAGGAAGGGACGGCUAACUCUGUGCCAGCAGCCGCGGUAAUACAGAGGUCCCGAGCGUUGUUCGGAUUCACUGGGCGUAAAGGGUGCGUAGGUGGUGAGGUAAGUCGGAUGUGAAAUCUCCAGGCUCAGCCUGGAAACUGCAUUGGAAACUACCUUGCUUGAGGGUUUGAGGGGGGACUGGAAUUCUCGGUGUAGCAGUGAAAUGCGUAGAUAUCGAGAGGAACACCAGUGGCGAAGGCGAGUCCCUGGAAAACACCUGACACUGAGGCACGAAAGCUAGGGGAGCAAACAGGAUUAGAUACCCUGGUAGUCCUAGCCCUAAACGGUGCUUGCUUGCUGUAAGAGGAAUCGACCCCUCUUGUGGCGGAGCUAACGCGUUAAGCAAGCCGCCUGGGAAGUACGGUCGCAAGAUUAAAACUCAAAUGAAUUGACGG